rnacentral:tRNA from 2 species
GGGGGAUUAGCUCAGUGGUAGAGCGCGUUUUAUCGAAACGAAGUCGGCAGUUCGAACCUGCCAUCCUCCU